rnacentral:tRNA from 1 species
GGAUUAGCUCAGUUGGCGCAGAGCGUCCCGAUAGCAAUCGGGAAGGUCAUCGGUUCGACUCCGUUAUCCUCCA